rnacentral:rRNA from 1 species
UACGAAGGGGGCUAGCGUUGCUCGGAAUGACUGGGCGUAAAGGGCGCGUAGGCGGAUGGCACAGUCAGAUGUGAAAUUCCCGGGCUUAACCUGGGGGCUGCAUUUGAUACGUGUGAUCUAGAGUGAGGAAGAGGGUCGUGGAAUUCCCAGUGUAGAGGUGAAAUUCGUAGAUAUUGGGAAGAACACCAGUGGCGAAGGCGGCUCACUGGACCGUAACUGACGCUCAUGCACGACAGCGUGGGGAUCAAACAGG